UUUUGACGGAGAGUUUGAUCCUGGCUCAGGACGAACGCUGGCGGCGUGCUUAAUACAUGCAAGUCGAACGCUCUCGACCUUCGGGUC
rnacentral:rRNA from 1 species